GCUGAGCAUACCUCUUCGCCAUUUUUGGGGGUUUCCGAUACUGAGUUAGGUUAAGUGGCUCACUGUGAGGAGCUCGGCUACAACUCCCAGCAGUUAUUCUUCAUCCGAGAAGCAUUAGGUAGCAGGUAAAGGGUUUAUGGAGUCGCCUGGAGAUCCUGUCCGCCAGUUCCACAUCACAUUCAAGGACAUUCUUAUGAUUUUGGUAUUCUUACACUAUUUGUAUUUGGUUUCGUUUCUUGUUCUGGUGUUAUUUAUCUUGUAUUUGGUUUGAUAUUAUUGUGUCAAGCCGAGCCGGCUCGCAGUUAGUUACUUU